rnacentral:rRNA from 1 species
AUGAUCCUGCAACUCAAGGUGGGUGACUCCACUGUCUCUGGGCAGGCUGCCAUCGCAGAAGCCGCGCACGCACACUUCUCCGACAUCCUCGGCUCCGCCCGGGAGAGGCUCUCCUCCAUCAACCUGGACAGACUCGACCCGCGCUCGUUUGACUUGCAAAACUUGGACGCCCCGUUCUCUGUGCACGAAAUCUGGGAGGCCAUCAAGCGCAUGCCUAAAGGGAGAGAGCCGGGGCCGGACGGGUUCACCUCCGAGUUCCUUUGCGCGUCUUGGCCCACAAUCAAGGCGGACUUCGUCGACGCGUUCAACAAGCUCUACAAUCUCAAUGGCCUUGGCUUCCGACGACUUAACAAGGCGCUUAUCACCAUGCUAUCCAAGAAACCGGACGCCACCACGCUCUCCGACUAG